GGCCGGCUCCGACGACCCGUGGGUCCGGGUGGCAGUGGGCGGCCCCGACCAGCGCCCGGCUCUGCGGCGCCGGGUCUUCUCGGCGGUCCGGCCGCCAGCUGCAUGGUCAGUGCCGGCCCGGAGGAGGCGUCCCGAGAGGGGACUCCGCGGCAGCUCGCGGCUCUCGUCGCCCGCCCGCCGAAGCGAAGCGUCCCGCCACCCGCACCUGCCUGGGGAGGUAAAUUCAGAAAUACAAUUCAGUUCAUCCUGUGGGGGAUACAAAGACAAACUUAUUUUGUUUUUACCAUCAUGAAACUUAACAAUAUGGAAUAUAAAGUGUACAAUGUAAUGAUUAAACAGUUCCAGACUUUACCCAGU